UGCGGGAUCGUCUAAUGGUAGGACAUCAGGUUUUGGACCUGAGUAUCGGGGUUCGAAUCCCUGUCCCGCAGCCA
rnacentral:tRNA from 1 species